GUGCUCACUUCCGCAGCACAUAUAUUAAAAUCAGAACGAUACAGAAAAGAUUAACAUGGCCCCCGCACAAGGAUGACAUGAAAGUUCAUGAAGCACUAUCUUUUAAA
ensembl:snRNA U6 U6 spliceosomal RNA